CCUACGGGAGGCAGCAGUGGGGAAUAUUGCACAAUGGGCGGAACCCUGAUGCAGCAAUGCCGCGUGAAGGAUGAAGGUUUUCGGAUUGUAAACUUCUUUUGUACGGGACGAAGAGAGUGUCGGUACCGUAAGAGUAAGCCACCGCUAACUACGUGCCAGCAGCCGGGGUAAUACGUAGGGGGCAAGCGUUAUCCGGAUUUAGUGGGUGUAAAGGGCGAGUAGGCGGGAUGUCAAGUCAGAUGUGAAAACUUUGGGCUCAACCGGUAGAGUGCCUUUGAAACUGGCGUUCUUGAGUGAGGGAGAGGCAGGCGGAAUUCCCGGUGUAGCGGUGGAAUGCGUAGAUAUCGGGAGGAACACCAGUGGCGAAGGCGGCCUGCUGGAAAAUAACUGACGCUGAGGCGCGAAAGCGUGGGGAGCAAACAGGAUUAGAUACCCCAGUAGUC
rnacentral:rRNA from 1 species